AGCUCAAAUCUCCUUUUAAGGAAGACAGAAGAGCCAAAAGGGCAGGAUAGUGUUUAUGUUUUGGGGCUGAAAAACGGUGCAGGAAAGUUCCCAGAUCCAGAGUCCCUGGAGAGAUGGAUGACCACUGUGUUUUCUCUGAGACAUGGCAUAGAGGACUGAUUGCAUGAAACAGCACUAGACAAUCCUUCAAACACAAACAGGGUCUAUGUGGGUUAGGAAGCAUGCUCACACUGGAGGUGCAGCUAUGAGACAAGCUAUCCAAACUUGCUUGACUGGAAGCCAGAAACGCUGAUGGAGAACAAACUGCAUCUGGCAAAAUGAAUUCUAAAUAAGAAACCAGUAAGCAAUGUUGUUGCUGAUUCUUUUCUCAGGAGACUUUCCAAGAAUGCCAAUUCAUUCUCAUGAGAGAGAAAAAGAACAUCAACAGCAACAGCCAUUUCAGCAUGUAAUUAAGCAACAGAAUAUAGCCAGCCGUUCAUGGACAUUCUCCUGAGAAACUAACAACCACCACGACAUUGUGCCUUUCAAUUGUGGCUGCUCAUGACUUUCAUGAGUGAUAAUCAGCCUACAUUUGUCCUUUCAGAAUGACCCGGUGUAACCUAAUUAGCAGACAAGACUGUGAAGAGACACAACUCCUCAGGGGUUUCAGAUGGUUUAGGUCCUCCAGCAGCAGGCUUCUUCCUAGAGAGGGAGGAAGAGAACCAGUCCUGAUAACAUCAAACCCAGUGGUACUAACCUAUAUAUGCCAGGUGAGGGGGUUGGCCCAUCCAUGCCCCCUCUUCCACAAUAGAAGGAUAAACAGACCCCAUAACAGUGAUGCCACUCCCCCCAGGCAGCUACAUCCCUCUCUCCCCCUCUCUAUUCUCUACUCUCCGCCCAUCUGAUUUUCCUCCCAUAAACUAGAUGACAUAGCUUAGAGAGCUGCCAGAGAACCUUCUCGCCUGUUGGACUCACAGCCUUUCUCCCAGCCUCCUCGCCAGACUAUCAGUGACCUCCAGAGCAGAAUCUACCCAUCCAUCUAUCCAUUAAUCCAUCCACCCCUCUGGAGCAGACCUAUGUAGCUGAACCAACAACCACCACAGCACAGCGAGGGCUAAGCAGGGGGGUGUAACGAUCCAUCAAACCAUCUCCAUCACUGGUCUUCCUGAGGACACCUCCAGAAUUACCCUCUUAACUGAAGAGCUUUGCCCAGAAUUGAUCACUCUGCCUGGGGCAUUUGCAGCUUCAACCCAGCCUCUCCAUGUCGAGUGAAACCAUGGACCUGGUCAACAACCGCGGCCUCAACCUGAUGCUCAACUUCCUCCUCAUCGUCAUCAUGCUGCUCCUCAUGCUUGUCCUGGUCAAACUCAUGUAACCUCUGACAUACAGUAUGACCUCAUGGCAUAGGUUGAGCAAUUCCAGUCCCCAAGGGCCACAGGGUCUGAUGGGAGUCCCUCUACCUCUGAUUUGAUCAUAUAAAUACACAAUGGCUUCAACUAAUUAUUAUUCAACAGUUCACAUCAAAAAUCACUGAAUAAAGGCCAUAGAACCUGUUGGGAGUAGAACUAAACAUUGUGAGCUUUUGGAGAGUAGAAAAGAGUUUGGGAUUCCAUGAGAUCGUUACAUGGGAUGGCAAGAUUCAAAACAUGAAUUAACAGGAGGAUGAAACUCCACCCACCGAUGGUAAAGAAAUGAAAUAACGUUGACAUGGCAUGAUCAAUAGAACGCCCUCCUUUACGUUUAGUUUACCUCCCUCUAGUGGUAGAAUCACCAAACUGCACCACAUCUACUUCUGGCCAGGGCACUGAGCACAGAGAUAAAUCCAUGCUCUCUGAUCCUCAUUCUAGAGUUGUGGUUGAUAUGGGCCAUAGAGAACAAUCAUUUUCAAAGCUUUUAACGCUCACAGUUACCGACUAUUCUAAGCUAUUAGGACCAAAGCACAUGUUACAAAUGACAACUGAAAUGUAACUGAAAACGAUUAAAGCCAGACACCGACCGUC